rnacentral:rRNA from 1 species
UACAGAGGGUGCAAGCGUUGUUCGGAAUUAUUGGGCGUAAAGGGCGCGUAGGCGGUUCGGCAAGUCUCUAGUGAAAUCUCUGGGCUCAACUCAGAGUCUGCUGGGGAAACUGCCGGGCUUGAGUGUGGGAGAGGAGAGUGGAAUUCCCGGUGUAGCGGUGAAAUGCGUAGAUAUCAGGAGGAACACCGGUGGUGUAAACGGCUUUCUGGACCAUAAACUGA